AACGAACGCUGGCGGCAGGCCUAACACAUGCCAGUCGAGCGGACCCUUCGGGGUUAGCGGCGGACGGGUGAGUAACGCGUGGGAAUAUGCCCUUCUCUACGGAAUAGUCCUGGGAAACUGGGGGUAAUACCGUAUACGCCCUUUGGGGGAAAGAUUUAUCGGGGAAGGAUUAGCCCGCGUUGGAUUAGGUAGUUGGUGGGGUAAUGGCCUACCAAGCCGACGAUCCAUAGCUGGUUUGAGAGGAUGAUCAGCCACACUGGGACUGAGACACGGCCCAGACUCCUACGGGAGGCAGCAGUGGGGAAUCUUAGACAAUGGGGGCAACCCUGAUCUAGCCAUGCCGCGUGAGUGAUGAAGGCCUUAGGGUUGUACAGCUCUUUCAGCUGGGAAGAUAAUGACGGUACCAGCAGAAGAAGCCCCGGCUAACUCCGUG
rnacentral:rRNA from 1 species